CAGGGGUGUCAAAGGACUCAUUCAAUAUUUGAAUGAUCUCUUCUGACUAAGCAUCCUCAAACUUACGACUAAGUUCGUCAUUCAUGGCUGCCCUCAUCCCGCAAUGCAAGGUCGUGCGGUCAUUGAGCCACUUUAUGUAAGUAUCUCUUACGAUACGAGGAGCAUUGGCUGUAGGUUUUUCAGGUGCCUGAUCCAUAAGGAUAUUUAAAAUCUUCUCAUGCUCUAACAC
rnacentral:lncRNA from 1 species